AGGAAACAUCUACAGUAAGAAGUUCUUAAACCUGAAAAAUCCAAAAUGGUAACAUCAUUAAAUCCACCACUAACUGAACCACGCUGUUGGGACUCGGCUGAUCCAAUCCUGAGCCAGUCCUGUGUCCUUAGUCCAAAGGGAAGAAAUGUUCCAUCUGGCCCUGUGUGAAACUGCUUAGGUUUGAUCUAUUAGCUGAGACUGAGGUGACCAAAUGUUUUUUAUUUACCUUGAAUGCUGUUCACACUAAGUGUCUUUUAGCAUAACAAAUACAACCUGGAAGCUUGAUAAAAUGAUGGUGAGACAAUAAUGUGGCCUUUGGUGUAAUUUUCAAUGUAAUGAAUUGCAUUUCUCAGUACC